CAUAAAUAUGAAAUUAUAGUUUAUCAUCAGACACUACAAAUUGCUCUAUCGUCUCCAUCCUCCACAACAUCUAUCAUUGAUUUAAAUUGCUAGUAUUAUUAGGAGAUAUCUAACAAGAUUUCCACUAAUAGUAACAAAGAGCGAAAUUGUAGACUAAAGAUACACAAGUGCCAUAACGCAACUUAUGAAGAGUUUGCGAGAUCGUCUUUUCUUCCUGCUGCAAAGGUGUGAUAUGUUUUUCUUAUUGGUUUUACUGUUCUAUGUCUAACCUUGUUGUUGUCAUUGUAUUCAAUAGUAUUUACUCAAAACUCAAAACUUCCUAAUCUUUACAUAAACAUGUAAAUAACUAAAACUCGAAUAGAAGAUUAGUUAAACUAUUUAGGUAUUAUUCAAUCAACAAAAUAAUGUAACAACAAAUGGGCUAUUGUGAAUAUAAUAAUACUUGGGCUUGGUGAUGCGCAUGGAUAGUUUGGCCUUCAUCAUUUAAAGCAUUAGCUUUCUAAGUCAACGGGUAGCUUCAAGAGUGUAAGCCUAACUAUCUUUGAUCACACGAUGUGGAAGACUCCAUCCUUCUUUUAUCUUUUCUUGAUGCUCCAACGAUAUCUUAUAUUAGUUUUGACUUUUGUAAAGAGGGGAAUGUGUAUCUAUGGGUAAAAGUAAAACUGUAAAAGAGUCAUGUAACGGCUAGAUCUAGCGGCCCAUGUGUUGCUGAUAUCGCUAGCUUUUCCCAUGGUUUUGCACAUUUGUGAAUGAUGAUGAUAUAGCUUUUUCUGGUG